AUCCACACCACUUGGUGUCAGUAUAAGAAACAUGGUUGACCAAUGAAACUGUCAAACGAGUUCAGAAAUCCAAUUCAGUGUUUUCUUGCGUGAUUUCAGAGUAUCACAGCUCUAUCAAUGGCCUCAAACAGGAGCUUGCGGAUUCCAUCAUGUACUCCGUCAGAGGACACCCUUUAAAGAGGGAAGAGUCAUCUGCCUCCCGUGGUCUUCCAACGCACAGACCACCAGGGGAAGUGAGGGAGCGAAAAAGAAAGCAAGAGAAAGAUAACUGAGGAGAUUGGACAGUCGGGAGCUUUUGAAGAGAAGACAGACCAAAUUCUGUCCUCAAGAACAGCGAUAACGGACGUGGGGUCCCACUGGGGGAUGGGACAGAGAAGUAUAUAUGAAAUAUGAAAGAAGAUGACAGUUUUAUCUGUUUGCAGAACAUGUGGACAGUGUGGACUGUUGUCCUUUCACCUGGAGCCAAGACUCAUGAACUACAUGGUUGAGAGUGUUGGGAAAUAUGCAUCCUGUUUUACGGUCGGCAAACUUCUGUUGACUGAAUACAAUAGUUAAAAAUCGGAGGCUUUUUCAGGCCAUUCAUGGAGGUUCUUUGUAUGAAAAAGGUCAAAUAAAGGGUGUUUUGACAAUAUUUUGGUGGCAUGUGCACCAGUGAGGUGAGCAUAUUGAGUUCAAAACAGAAAUGAGAGAGCAUCGGAGGAAAAGAUCAAUAGAUGGAUGAAUGAAUGGGUGAAGUGAGUCAGUAUACAGCUAUUCACUGUCCCUGUGCCCCUUUUGUCCUUUCUGUGCUAUUUGGUUAAAAUCUCUUUUAUCUCUGCUGGUGCCAGCCUCUGAUGCAUAAACACUCCAGACUGACUCCUUUUGCUUUGAUAGAGGGACAGAAAAUGAAAGGAAGCAAAAACCGCAUUAGCGUUUCAGCAUCAGUAAGAAUAUCCCGUAUCCGGCCUGUCAUUCAUUUCAUUUUACACUUCUUCAUUUCUUUUACACGGUACAUUUCCUCCUUGACCUGUACUGAAGUCAUCCAUGAUACUGUUCUUAUAUAAGAAUAUAUUGUAUCCUGUUGAUUUAAGUAUUCUGGUCAAGGAUUUUUUCAUCAAAGUAUGUGGGUUAAUUUAGUUUUCAAAUUAAAUUAAAAUAUAUGAUAAUGUGUAUGGAAUUGUCAGACUUAUGGGUCCCAGGAGAUAAUUUUUAUGGACAUUUUAGAGCCAUUUUUACUGG